ensembl:lncRNA
GUAAACAGGCAGGUGCAGCCUCGCUUCCACUGGAUUUACGUUCUGGAGGCUCAGGGGAGGCAAGAGAGAUGGCAGAGAAAACAAAAACAAGUGACCGACAUAAUAAAUUGAAAAGUGAUAAGCAAUAUGGGAAAAGAAAAGGAGACUGGGGAAGAAGGAUUUAGAAAUUCAGGAAGGGGGAUGGUGUAAACUAAAUGAGGGGUCCAGGUGGAUUUCAUUGAGCAGGUGGAUGUUUGAACGAAGACUUCGAGGAGGUGAAGGCAGAACGAAGCUGCUGUCUGGGCAAGGAUUUCGUGGCAGAGAAGCAGGCCUGCACAGGGACCUGAGAGGAGGCACAUCUGGGUGUUCUAGAGCAGUGGGCAGGCCAGCGUGGCUGGAGCAGCAUGUGCAACAGCAGCAUUAUGGGGUGUAGCAAGUGACCAGGCCGCGUGGACCCUUGCAGUUACCAGAGGGACUUUGGCUUUUUCUCUGAGAGGAAAGGGAACCCACUGGAUGGUUAGAGCAGAGGCGUGGCAUGAACAUGCUUCUGUUUUCAUAGGCUUACUCCUGCUGUCAAGUAGAGCAUAGGCUGUAGGAGGGCAAGGACCGUAGCUGACAGUCCAUCUAGGACACUGCGAUAGUGAUUUAGGCCAACAGACAUAGUAGACUGGACUAAAUAGAAUCAGAAGAGGUAGUGGGAUGGGCCCGAAAGAAAGGGGCCAAACAUGACAGCAAGGCCUUUUGAAGGCUAGCUCUUGCCCAGGGCACAGGGAGAGAUGCCAGAGCGCAGGGUCGUAAAGAGGCCUUUGUGAAAACCAGGGAGUCGGUGAGGUCUCACCCAAAUGUUCUGUGUAUGGUGCAACUUAGAAGGCGGAAGACAUGGACUGACUCUCCUGGCUGUGGACCUCAGGAUCCUGGCAGGUCCAUUGGUAUAGUGGAUUUUUGGAAGAGCUGAAGGGAAUGAAAAUGUCCAGGUCCUGGCUCCCGGACGUUGGGUGUCUGCAUGAUCCUUCAGUGGUGAACGCACCAUACCGCAAAUGUGACAGCUUUGAUUACUAGGUCAAAACGUCCCUCAGCUUUUCCAUUAGAAACCCAGCUCCCCACAAGUGUGCCACGAUCAAGAACUUGGCAAACAAGGUCCCAUCCAGGAGCCACUCGUCUUGUGCAACUGCAACAUCAUCAUUAGGUGCAAUUAUUCUAAAUUGGAGAAUGAGCAGAAUUGUAAAUGUUAUGGUAAUGAUAUCUGAUGUUUGCUUCACUCUGUUUUUAUUUUUCAUAUAUAAUUUACUUGUUAAAAAAAGAGAACUCUCUAGCUAAUGCACUCUAGGAGAAUCAACUGAAAUACUGGAUAAUACAGGUUAAAAUAGGUACACAUUUUUUGUGUUCAUGUACCUGUGGCCAGUGCUCUGAGUUAAGGUCUCUUGACCCCACUCCCCUGCACAAUAAGUGGAAAUCCAGGGGCUUAGAGGAACCAGGGCUCAGCAGUUUUUGUUUCCUAACUGACCUAAGUUUUAUUUCCUAAUGUGAAAAAAUGGUACACUUGCUUUGUUGUAACUCAGAGUAAGUAAAAGACACAAUUUGAUGGGCUUCUGUAGCCACUGCAAUGGGAAAUAUUUGUUUUUAUUGAGUGAGUUCACCCUAAUCUCAGCUCUCACAUGUCCACACCCAUGCUCACACACCAAAUGGGAUUCAACACUGUGUAAGAGAUACCUUCUGUACCUUUUGUGUAUUAAACAUUUCUAUUAAGUACUGAAUAAAAGGGAACCCCACUUGCCUUACCAAGGCUUUAUCUACUGGGAAAUCAAAAAGACUUGGAGAAUAAGAAUAUAACUUAUGUAUCCUGUGUACUUGGGCAGCAAGGCUUUGGCACCUGAAACGCCUGGUACAAGACCCGGGGAAGCCUCAGUUUCCUCAUCUGUAAAGCAGAGGCAGCCGUACUUGGUGUGCUGGUUGUCACUCUGCUUCCUCCUUCAGAUCCCUUUCCAUCCUUCUCUGCCCUAUGCUUUGAUGAGGCUGACCUCUAGGGCUGGUGUUGUCUGGACCCUCCUGCCUAUAACUUUGUUUGGAUUCAGCUGGUGGGAAGUAGUGUCAGGGGACUGGAGACAGUG